rnacentral:pre_miRNA from 14 species
UCUUCGGAGACAAGGUGGUCACCAAUCCCAGACGAGCCCCCAAAUGAAAGACCCCUGGAGUGGGGAGAACCUCACUCAAGUCUCGGGAUGAUGCGGCCUCCUAAGAACUCACGUAAGACU